GAUGAACGCUGGCGGCGUGCCUAAUACAUGCAAGUCGAGCGAACAGAUGAGGAGCUUGCUCCUCUGACGUUAGCGGCGGACGGGUGAGUAACACGUGGAUAACCUACCUAUAAGACUGGGAUAACUUCGGGAAACCGGAGCUAAUACCGGAUAAUAUAUUGAACCGCAUGGUUCAAUAGUGAAAGACGGUUUUGCUGUCACUUAUAGAUGGAUCCGCGCCGCAUUAGCUGGUUGGUACGGUACCGGCUUCCAAGGGAAAGAUGGGUUGACGACCUGAGCGGGUGAUCGGCCACACUGGAGCUGGGACGGGGUCCAGACUCCUACGGGAGGCAGCAGUAGGGAAUCUGCCGCAAUGGGCGGAAGCCUGACGGAGCAACGCCGCGUGUGUGAUGAAGGUCUUCGGAUCGUAAAACUCUGUUAUUAGGGAAGAACAAAUGUGUAAGUAACUAUGCACGUCUUGACGGUACCUAAUCAGAAAGCCACGGCUAACUACGUG
rnacentral:rRNA from 1 species